rnacentral:rRNA from 1 species
UACGGGGGGGGCAAGCGUUGUUCGGAAUUACUGGGCGUAAAGGGCUCGUAGGUGGCCAACUAAGUCAGACGUGAAAUCCCUCGGCUUAACCGGGAACUGCGUCUGAUACUGGAUGGCUUGAGUUCGGGAGAGGGAUGCGGAAUUCCAGGUGUAGCGGUGAAAUGCGUAGAUAUCUGGAGGAACACCGGUGGCGAAGGCGGGUCUCUGGGCCGUAACUGACGCUGAGGAGCGAAAGCGUGGGGAGCAACAGG